rnacentral:rRNA from 2 species
CACUAUCGUUAACUGAAUACAUAGGUUAACGAGGCGAACCGGGGGAACUGAAACAUCUAAGUACCCCGAGGAAAAGAAAUCAACCGAGAUUCCCCCAGUAGCGGCGAGCGAACGGGGAGCAGCCCAGAGUCUGAAUCAGCUUGUGUGUUAGUGGAACGGUCUGGAAAGUCCGACGGUACAGGGUGAUAGUCCCGUACACCAAAAUGCACAGGCUGUGAACUCGAAGAGUAGGGCGGGACACGUGGUAUCCUGUCUGAAUAUGGGGGGACCAUCCUCCAAGGCUAAAUACUCCUGACUGACCGAUAGUGAACCAGUACCGUGAGGGAAAGGCGAAAAGAACCCCGGCGAGGGGAGUGAAAAAGAACCUGAAACCGUGUACGUACAAGCAGUGGGAGCACCUUCGGGUGUGACUGCGUACCUUUUGUAUAAUGGGUCAGCGACUUAUAUUCUGUAGCAAGGUUAACCGUAUAGGGGAGCCGCAGGGAAACCGAGUCUUAACUGGGCGUUAAGUUGCAGGGUAUAGACCCGAAACCCGGUGAUCUAGCCAUGGGCAGGUUGAAGGUUGGGUAACACUAACUGGAGGACCGAACCGACUAAUGUUGAAAAAUUAGCGGAUGACUUGUGGCUGGGGGUGAAAGGCCAAUCAAACCGGGAGAUAGCUGGUUCUCCCCGAAAGCUAUUUAGGUAGCGCCUCGUGAACUCAUCUUCGGGGGUAGAGCACUGUUUCGGCUAGGGGGUCAUCCCGACUUACCAACCCGAUGCAAACUACGAAUACCGAAGAAUGUUAUCACGGGAGACACACGGCGGGUGCUAACGUCCGUCGUGAAGAGGGAAACAACCCAGACCGCCAGCUAAGGUCCCAAAGUCAUGGUUAAGUGGGAAACGAUGUGGGAAGGCACAGACAGCCAGGAUGUUGGCUUAGAAGCAGCCAUCAUUUAAAGAAAGCGUAAUAGCUCACUGGUCGAGUCGGCCUGCGCGGAAGAUGUAACGGGGCUAAACCAUGCACCGAAGCUGCGGCAGCGACACUAUGUGUUGUUGGGUAGGGGAGCGUUCUGUAAGCCUGCGAAGGUGUGCUGUGAGGCAUGCUGGAGGUAUCAGAAGUGCGAAUGCUGACAUAAGUAACGAUAAAGCGGGUGAAAAGCCCGCUCGCCGGAAGACCAAGGGUUCCUGUCCAACGUUAAUCGGGGCAGGGUGAGUCGACCCCUAAGGCGAGGCCGAAAGGCGUAGUCGAUGGGAAACAGGUUAAUAUUCCUGUACUUGGUGUUACUGCGAAGGGGGGACGGAGAAGGCUAUGUUAGCCGGGCGACGGUUGUCCCGGUUUAAGCAUGUAGGCUGAUUGUCCAGGCAAAUCCGGAUAAUCAAGGCUGAGGUGUGAUGACGAGGCACUACGGUGCUGAAGUAACAAAUGCCCUGCUUCCAGGAAAAGCCUCUAAGCAUCAGGUAACAUCAAAUCGUACCCCAAACCGACACAGGUGGUCAGGUAGAGAAUACCAAGGCGCUUGAGAGAACUCGGGUGAAGGAACUAGGCAAAAUGGUGCCGUAACUUCGGGAGAAGGCACGCUGGUGUGUAGGUGAAGCCCCUGCGGGUGGAGCUGAGACCAGUCGAAGAUACCAGCUGGCUGCAACUGUUUAUUAAAAACACAGCACUGUGCAAACACGAAAGUGGACGUAUACGGUGUGACGCCUGCCCGGUGCCGGAAGGUUAAUUGAUGGGGUUAUCCGUAAGGAGAAGCUCUUGAUCGAAGCCCCGGUAAACGGCGGCCGUAACUAUAACGGUCCUAAGGUAGCGAAAUUCCUUGUCGGGUAAGUUCCGACCUGCACGAAUGGCGUAAUGAUGGCCAGGCUGUCUCCACCCGAGACUCAGUGAAAUUGAACUCGCUGUGAAGAUGCAGUGUACCCGCGGCAAGACGGAAAGACCCCGUGAACCUUUACUAUAGCUUGACACUGAACAUUGAGCCUUGAUGUGUAGGAUAGGUGGGAGGCUUUGAAGCGUGGACGCCAGUCUGCGUGGAGCCAACCUUGAAAUACCACCCUUUAAUGUUUGAUGUUCUAACGUUGGCCCCUUACCGGGGUUGCGGACAGUGUCUGGUGGGUAGUUUGACUGGGGCGGUCUCCUCCCAAAGCGUAACGGAGGAGCACGAAGGUUAGCUAAUCCUGGUCGGACAUCAGGAGGUUAGUGCAAUGGCAUAAGCUAGCUUGACUGCGAGCGUGACGGCGCGAGCAGGUGCGAAAGCAGGUCAUAGUGAUCCGGUGGUUCUGAAUGGAAGGGCCAUCGCUCAACGGAUAAAAGGUACUCCGGGGAUAACAGGCUGAUACCGCCCAAGAGUUCAUAUCGACGGCGGUGUUUGGCACCUCGAUGUCGGCUCAUCACAUCCUGGGGCUGAAGUAGGUCCCAAGGGUAUGGCUGUUCGCCAUUUAAAGUGGUACGCGAGCUGGGUUUAGAACGUCGUGAGACAGUUCGGUCCCUAUCUGCCGUGGGCGCUGGAGAAUUGAGGGGGGCUGCUCCUAGUACGAGAGGACCGGAGUGGACGCAUCACUGGUGUUCGGGUUGUCAUGCCAAUGGCACUGCCCGGUAGCUAAAUGCGGAAGAGAUAAGUGCUGAAAGCAUCUAAGCACGAAACUUGCCCCGAGAUGAGUUCUCCCUGAGACUUUAAGUCUCCUGAAGGAACGUUGAAGACGACGACGUUGAUAGGCCGGGUGUGUAAGCGCAGCGAUGCGUUGAGCUAACCGGUACUAAUGAACCGUGAGGCUUAACCUU